rnacentral:rRNA from 1 species
UACAGGGGGGGCAAGCGUUGUUCGGAAUUACUGGGCGUAAAGGGUUCGUAGGUGGCCACUUAAGUCAGACGUGAAAUCCCUCAGCUUAACUGGGGAACUGCGUCUGAUACUGAGUGGCUUGAGUGCAGGAGAGGAAUGCGGAAUUCCAGGUGUAGCGGUGAAAUGCGUAGAUAUCUGGAGGAAUACCGGUGGCGAAGGCGGCAUCCUGGACCGACAUUGACGCUGAUGAGCGAAAGCCAGGGGAGCAAACGGG